UCGUACGAGAAAGGGGACUUCGGUCCCUGAGUAGAGUGGCGCACGGGUGCGUAACACGUAAGUAAUCUACCCCGAACACUGGGAUAACCCUCCGAAAGGAGGGCUAACACUGGAUAGGGUCCCCGAGGUCUAAGCCGCGGGGAAAAACGGGCCUCUGUUUCAUGCUCGUGGUUCGGGAUGAGCUUGCGGCCCAUUAGCUUGUUGGUAGGGUAAUGGCCUACCAAGGCAACGAUGGGUAGCUGGUCUGAGAGGAUGAUCAGCCACACUGGCACUGAGACACGGGCCAGACUCCUACGGGAGGCAGCAGUGGGGAAUUUUGCGCAAUGGGCGAAAGCCUGACGCAGUAACGCCGCGUGGAGGAUGAAGGCCUUCGGGUUGUAAACUCCUGUCAGGAGGAACGACGGAGUAGGGGUGAUAAGCCCUGUACUCCAGACGGUACCUCCAAAGGAAGCCCCGGCUAAUUCCGUGCCAGCAGCCGCGGUAA
rnacentral:rRNA from 1 species